rnacentral:rRNA from 1 species
GAGUUUGAUCAUGGCUCAGGAUGAACGCUGGCGGCGUGCCUAAUACAUGCAAGUCGAGCGAACGGACGAGAAGCUUGCUUCUCUGAUGUUAGCGGCGGACGGGUGAGUAACACGUGGAUAACCUACCUAUAAGACUGGGAUAACUUCGGGAAACCGGAGCUAAUACCGGAUAAUAUUUUGAACCGCAUGGUUCAAAAGUGAAAGACGGUCUUGCUGUCACUUAUAGAUGGAUCCGCGCUGCAUUAGCUAGUUGGUAAGGUAACGGCUUACCAAGGCAACGAUGCAUAGCCGACCUGAGAGGGUGAUCGGCCACACUGGAACUGAGACACGGUCCAGACUCCUACGGGAGGCAGCAGUAGGGAAUCUUCCGCAAUGGGCGAAAGCCUGACGGAGCAACGCCGCGUGAGUGAUGAAGGUCUUCGGAUCGUAAAACUCUGUUAUUAGGAGAACAUAUGUGUAAGUAACUGUGCACACCUUGACGGUACCUAAUCAGAAAGCCACGGCUAACUACGUCG